GUCUUUGGAUUUGGUGUCUUCCUUUUCGGGUUUGAUCA
rnacentral:antisense_RNA from 1 species